rnacentral:rRNA from 1 species
GACGAACGCUGGCGGCGUGCUUAACACAUGCAAGUCGAACGGUAAGGCUCCAGCUUGCUGGGGUACACGAGUGGCGAACGGGUGAGUAACACGUGGGUGACCUGCCCUGCACUUCGGGAUAAGCCUGGGAAACUGGGUCUAAUACCGGAUAGGACCGCACCGUGAGGGUGUGGUGGAAAGUUUUUUCGGUGUGGGAUGGGCCCGCGGCCUAUCAGCUUGUUGGUGGGGUAAUGGCCUACCAAGGCGGCGACGGGUAGCCGGCCUGAGAGGGUGGACGGCCACAUUGGGACUGAGACACGGCCCAGACUCCUACGGGAGGCAGCAGUGGGGAAUAUUGCACAAUGGGCGGAAGCCUGAUGCAGCGACGCCGCGUGGGGGAUGACAGCCUUCGGGUUGUAAACUCCUUUCACCAUCGACGAAGGGUUUCUGACGGUAGAUGGAGAAGAAGCACCGGCUAACUACGUGCCAGCAGCCGCGGUAAUACGUAGGGUGCGAGCGUUGUCCGGAAUUACUGGGCGUAAAGAGCUCGUAGGUGGUUUGUCGCGUCGUCUGUGAAAUUCCGGGGCUUAACUCCGGGCGUGCAGGCGAUACGGGCAUAACUUGAGUACUGUAGGGGAGACUGGAAUUCCUGGUGUAGCGGUGAAAUGCGCAGAUAUCAGGAGGAACACCGGUGGCGAAGGCGGGUCUCUGGGCAGUAACUGACGCUGAGGAGCGAAAGCAUGGGGAGCGAACAGGAUUAGAUACCCUGGUAGUCCAUGCCGUAAACGGUGGGCGCUAGGUGUGGGUUUCCUUCCACGGGAUCCGUGCCGUAGCUAACGCAUUAAGCGCCCCGCCUGGGGAGUACGGCCGCAAGGCUAAAACUCAAAGGAAUUGACGGGGGCCCGCACAAGCGGCGGAGCAUGUGGAUUAAUUCGAUGCAACGCGAAGAACCUUACCUGGGCUUGACAUAUACAGGAUCGCGCCAGAGAUGGUGUUUCCCUUGUGGCUUGUAUACAGGUGGUGCAUGGUUGUCGUCAGCUCGUGUCGUGAGAUGUUGGGUUAAGUCCCGCAACGAGCGCAACCCUUGUCUUAUGUUGCCAGCACGUUGUGGUGGGGACUCGUAAGAAACUGCCGGGGUUAACUCGGAGGAAGGUGGGGAUGACGUCAAAUCAUCAUGCCCCUUAUGUCCAGGGCUUCACACAUGCUACAAUGGUCGGUACAGUGGGUUGCCAGUCCGUGAGGGCGAGCUAAUCCCGCGAAGCCGGUCUCAGUUCGGAUCGGGGUCUGCAACUCGACCCCGUGAAGUCGGAGUCGCUAGUAAUCGCAGAUCAGUAACGCUGCGGUGAAUACGUUCCCGGGCCU